rnacentral:rRNA from 1 species
GUGGGGAAUAUUGGACAAUGGGCGAAAGCCUGAUCCAGCCAUGCCGCGUGUGUGAAGAAGGUCUUCGGAUUGUAAAGCACUUUAAGUUGGGAGGAAGGGCAGUAAGUUAAUACCUUGCUGUUUUGACGUUACCGACAGAAUAAGCACCGGCUAACUUCGUGCCAGCAGCCGCGGUAAUACGAAGGGUGCAAGCGUUAAUCGGAAUUACUGGGCGUAAAGCGCGCGUAGGUGGUUUUGUAAGUUGGAGGUGAAAUCCCCGGGCUCAACCUGGGAACUGCCUCCAAAACUGGAUGACUAGAGUACGGUAGAGGGUAGUGGAAUUUCCUGUGUAGCGGUGAAAUGCGUAGAUAUAGGAAGGAACACCAGUGGCGAAGGCGACUACCUGGACUGAUACUGACACUGAGGUGCGAAAGCGUGGGGAGCAAACAGGAUUAGAAACCCGUGUAGUCC